rnacentral:rRNA from 1 species
UACAGAGGGUGCAAGCGUUAAUCGGAAUUACUGGGCGUAAAGGGCGCGUAGGCGGCAAUUCAAGUCAGCUGUGAAAUCUCCGGGCUUAACUCGGAACGGUCAGCUGAUACUGCUUUGCUAGAGUGCAGAAGGGGCAAUCGGAAUUCUUGGUGUAGCGGUGAAAUGCGUAGAUAUCAAGAGGAACACCUGAGGUGAAGACGGGUUGCUGGGCUGACACUGACGCUGGAGUGCGGCGAAAGCUAGGGUAGCAAACGGG